GGUAGGAUGGCCGAGGGUCUAGGCGGUAGGCUGUAGUCCUACACACAGGGGUUUGAUUCCUCUUCCUUCCA
rnacentral:tRNA from 2 species